GUUGGUGUCAGCGGAGUCAGGGACCCGAGUCCGCGGCUUGUGCAUCUGCCCUCCGACCCUCGAAAAGCCGCCCGCCUCCCCUUCUCCCGCGCACGGGGGCGGCGGACUCCACAACCUCCACCUCGCUCACCGGCUCGCCGCCUCCGGCCGAGAGUAGCUUUGAGCUAUGGGCACAGCUGUGGAUGCUUCAGCAGCUGUGGCUGAGGAGGUCACUGAGAAUAUGCUGGGUGGCAAGAAAGUCACUGUUGUAUUCGUUCUAGGUGGUCCUGGAAGUGGAAAGGGUACACAGUGUACCAACAUUGUGGAACACUUUGGAUUCACCCAUCUUAGUGCUGGAGAUCUUUUGCGUGCAGAGAUCAAAUCUGGCUCAGAGAAUGGAACCAUGAUUGACAACAUGAUAAAGGAGGGAAAGAUUGUUCCAUCAGAAGUAACCAUAAAGCUGUUGAAGGAGGCCAUGAUAAAAAGUGAAAAUGACAAAUUUCUGAUUGACGGGUUUCCAAGGAAUGAAGAGAAUCGUGCUGCAUUCGAGAAUGUUACAAAAAUUUCUCCUGCAUUUGUUUUAUUCUUUGAUUGUGCUGAGGAAGAGAUGGAAAGACGUCUUCUGGGGCGCAAUCAGGGAAGAGUUGACGAUAACAUUGAAACUAUCAGGAAAAGGUUUAAAGUGUUUGUUGAAUCUAGUUUGCCUGUUAUUGAGUACUAUAGCUCAAAGGACAAGGUUAAAAAGGUAUUAAUGCACUUUUAUCAUUCGAGGUGUCAUGGGCAGCCAACAGGCUGCCAGGGCCGACGGGCUGAUAGUCAAGCAAUGAAUUAUGAAGAAACAAUUCUAGUCUCCCUCAGUCUCUCAAGCUCUUGGCAAAGCAUAAGGCCUAGUUAUCCCAAAAUACCUCCUCGAUCUCUCAAGCUCUUGGCAAAGCAUAAGGCCUAGUUAUCUCCCAAAUAUCCAUCACCAUAACACGAGGGUUACUCCAACUGCAGUCUAAUGAUGCAAAAAUGUAGUAUUAUACUAUAAAUAGAAGCACAGAUUGGAACAAGAUGCAUGCCAACUUAAAUAUAUGAGAUUUGAAGGAUGAUGUUUAGAUGUCAAGAUAAUCUGAUGGAGUAGUCUUCCUUCCUUUUGAGUUAAUGAGCAUCAUUAAAUUUUUCACAUUUUAAUUAAUUGCUGGCGCUUCUGUUGGAAUUAUCGACCUAGAUUGAUGCAGCAAAACCAAUUCCUGAGGUCUUUGAAGACGUGAAGGCCAUUUUUGCCCCAUAUGCUCCAAAGGUUGAAUAGAGCAAUAUACAAGAGAGGUCAUGGAGGCACCGGACAAUUGUUACUACAUAUAUGUUAUUAUGAACUUAUUUAAUAUAGAAGAAAAGUUUUUGCUCAAAUGAGCUACCAGCAUAUAUUAGUAGGCAAUUCAAUUUGUUAUCAGCAAUAAGUAGAUCUGAGUCCCUGUGUUCCCUGCUAGAGUAGCAUUUUACCAAUGUUGGUGUAUCCUUUGAUAUUGUUGUACCAACAAUGUGGCAAUGUGGUCUGGCUUGUACCCUCCCAUCUGCUAUCUGGUAGCAUUAAGUGAUUAUUUAUUCUUGUAGGCAUUAAAAUGUGCAACAUUCUACUCAGCCUUUGCAUGAUCACUUGGUGCCCUCAUGUCAGAUAUUAGUUAGUAUCUACAGGGCUAUGUAGAUGCUCUUUAUUUGAUUGGGAGCAAUGACAUACAAUAUGAUUCUUGUACUCAUGCUUGAAAUAUUGCAAGUCAAGGGCCAGGGCUCUUGUGUGACUAUAGGUCGUCUGUAGUAUAUAGUUCUGUUACUUUAGUCCUGAGGUUAACACAUUCCUCUGAUUUAUGAAGGUAUUUUGCACACUUGUGAACCAUUUGUGAGCUGAUUGUAGCAUUUUGUCAAAAAAAUGCAUAGCCAUGUACUAUCAAUGUAAGAAGACCAAACCACUUUUGUACUGCUGUCUCUUUGAUCACCUUCGUUGUAAUCAGGUUGGCUGCCCAGCUGUAAGCAAGAAACAGGAAAUUUGGUAAGAUAUUUUGUUCUACAUUGCAACCCCAUAGAAGUGACGGCGUCUAUGCCUUUGUUUGGUGCUUGUAAGGUUUCAGUAACAUUACCUAAUUGGGAGCUUGGAACAUUACAGUAUAUGCAUGCCGUGAUGAACUGAUGAUGGUGAUACAUCUAACUGACAAUUUUGUUGUAAUCCUUGC